rnacentral:rRNA from 1 species
CCGUGGAGGGAAAGUUGAAAAGAACUUUGAAGAGAGAGUUCAAGAGUACGUGAAACCGUUCAGGGGUAAACCUGAGAAACCCAAAAGAUCGAAUGGGGAGAUUCAACGUAAACUCGGUCGAUUGCCGUGUGGUGCGCGAUAAUCGUAGCCUCGGUUGCGAAUACGCCAUCGCUGCGGUUCAUCAUUGAUCGAGCGGGCGUGCACUUCUCCCCUAGUAGGACGUCGCGACCCGUUGGGUGUCGGCCUACGGCUUGCAAUGUCGCCUGUCGCCCGUGGACGUUUACGCGUCUCUCGCGGCAGACCUGCUUUUGCCCGGCCGACUGCCCGGCGGUAUUGAUAUCAUGACAGGUAUUUGGCCGCAUUUUUGUGCGUCCUGGCCCGUCGGCAGGCUCGCCUCGCCCGGUUUCACGGACCUAGCGCCGUUGCCGGGUGCUUGGUGUGGCUGUUAGUCGACGGUGUCCUCGGACUGGCUUUUACCGGUUGGCGACGCUACUGCUUUGGGUACUUUCAGGACCCGUC